rnacentral:rRNA from 1 species
GAACGUCGUGAGACAGUUCGGUCCCUAUCCGUCGCAGGCGUAGGAAAUUUGAGAAGACCUGUCCUUAGUACGAGAGGACCGGGAUGGACGUACCUCUGGUGUCCCAGUUGUCCUGCCAAGGGCAUGGCUGGGUAGCUAUGUACGGAAUGGAUAAGCGCUGAAAGCAUCUAAGCGCGAAGCCAACUUCAAGAUAAGAUUUCCC